GAGUUUGAUCAUGGCUCAGGAUAAACGCUAGCGGCAGGCCUAACACAUGCAAGUCGAGGGGCAUCGGAUAGAGUACUUCGGUACUCUUGCCGGCGACCGGCGGACGGGUGCGUAACGCGUAUGCAACCUACCUUCAACAGGGGGAUAAUCCGAAGAAAUUUGGUCUAAUACCCCAUAAUAUUCCGACAGGCAUCUGUCGGAGUUGAAAAGCUUCGGUGGUUGGAGAUGGGCAUGCGUUGUAUUAGCUAGAUGGUGAGGUAACGGCUCACCAUGGCGAUGAUACAUAGGGGGACUGAGAGGUUUUCCCCCCACACUGGUACUGAGACACGGACCCAGACUCCUACGGGAGGCAGCAGUGAGGAAUAUUGGUCAAAUGGACCGGAAGUCUGAACCAGCCCAUGCCCGCGUGCCAGGGAUGAAUUGUGCUAUGCAUUUGUAAACUGCUUUUGUACGAGGGUAAACACAGAUACGCGUAUCUGCUUGAAAGUAUCGUACGGAAUAAGGAUCGGCUAACUCCCGUGCCAGCAGCCGCGGUAAUACGGAGGAUCCGAGCGUUAUCCGGAUUUAUUGGGUUUAAAGGGUGCGUAGGCUGUUUUUUAAGUUAGAGGUGAAAGCUCGACGCUCAACGUCGAAAUUGCCUCUGAUACUGAGAGACUAGAGUGUAGUUGCGGAAGGCGGAAUGUGUGGUGUAGCGGUGAAAUGCUUAGAUAUCACACAGAACACCGAUUGCGAAGGCAGCUUUCCAAGCUAUUACUGACGCUGAGGCACGAAAGCGUGGGGAGCGAACAGGAUUAGAUACCCUGGUAAGUCCACCGCAGUAAACGAUGAUAACUCGUUGCCGGCGAUACACAGUCGGUGACUUAGCGAAAGCGUUAAGUUAUCCACCUGGGGAGUACGUUCGCAAGAAUGAAACUCAAAGGAAUUGACGGGGGCCCGCACAAGCGGAGGAACAUGUGGUUUAAUUCGAUGAUACGCGAGGAACCUUACCCGGGCUUGAAAGUUAGCGACGGACCGAGAAAUCGGUCUUCCCUUCGGGGCGCGAAACUAGGUGCUGCAUGGUUGUCGUCAGCUCGUGCCGUGAGGUGUCGGGUUAAGUCCCAUAACGAGCGCAACCCCUACCGUUAGUUGCCAUCAGGUCAAGCUGGGCACUCUUAGCGGGACUGCCGGGUGUAAGCCGGAGAGGGAAGGUGGGGAUGAACGUUCAAAUCAGCACCGGCCCCUUACGUCCGGGGCGACACACGUGUUACAAUGGCCGGUACAGAGGGUAGCUACCUGGUGACAGGAUGCCAAUCUCGAAAGCCGGUCUCAGUUCGGAUUGGAGGCUGAAACUCGCCUCCAUGAAGUUGGAUUCGCUAGUAAUCGCGCAUCAGCCAUGGCGCGGUGAAUACGUUCCCGGGCCUUUGUACACACCGCCCGUCAAGCCAUGGGAGUUGGGGGGUGCCUGAAAGUACGUGACCGCAAGGAGCGUCCUUAGGGCAAAACCGAUGACUGGGGGCUAAGUCCGUAACAAGGUAGCCGU
rnacentral:rRNA from 1 species